rnacentral:tRNA from 1 species
GAAAUAUUUUAUAUUAAGCUGCUAACUUAAUUUUUAGUGAUUAACAAUCAUUAAUAUUUCUAU